rnacentral:rRNA from 1 species
GAUGAACGCUGGCGGCGUGCCUAAUACAUGCAAGUCGAGCGGCAGCACGGUCUUCGGACUGGUGGCGAGCGGCGGACGGCUGAGUAACGCGUAGGAACAUGCCCUAAAGUGAGGAAUAACUGCCCGAAAGGGUGGCUAAUGCCGCAUGUGCUCUUCGGAGUAAAGCUUGAUGCGCCUUAGGCGUGGCCUGCGUCCGAUUAGCUAGUUGGUGAGGUAAAGGCUCACCAAGGCGACGAUCGGUAGCUGGUCUGAGAGGAUGAUCAGCCAGACUGGAACUGAGAACGGUCCAGACUCCUACGGGAGGCAGCAGUAGGGAAUUUUCCACAAUGGGCGAGGGCCUGAUGGAGCAACGCCGCGUGCAGGAUGAAUGCCUUCGGGUUGUAAACUGCUUUUGUACGGAGCGAAAAGGUCUCCUCUAAUACAGGGGGCUCAUGACGGUACCGUAAGAAUAAGCACCGGC